GACGAACGCUGGCGGCGUGCUUAACACAUGCAAGUCGAGCGGUAAGGCCCUUUCGGGGGUACGACGAGCGGCGAACGGGUGAGUAACACGUGGGUGGACCUGCCCUCCAGCUCUGGGAUAAGCCUGGGAAACCGGGUCUAAUACCGGAUAUGACUCCAUGACGCAUGUUGUGGGGUGGAAAGCCUUGUGCGGCUGAGGAUGGGCCCGCGGCCUAUCAGCUUGUUGGUGGGGUGAUGGCCUACCAAGGCGACGACGGGUAGCCGGCCUGAGAGGGCGACCGGCCACACUGGGACUGAGACACGGCCCAGACUCCUACGGGAGGGCAGCAGUGGGGAAUCUUGCGCAAUGGGCGAAAGCCUGACGCAGCGACGCCCGCGUGAGGGAUGACGGCCUGUGUAACU
rnacentral:rRNA from 1 species